UACGUAGGGGGCAAGCGUUGUCCGGAAUUAUUGGGCGUAAAGAGCGUGUAGGCGGUCCGGUAAGUCAGCUGUGAAAGUCAAGGGCUCAACCCUUGAAUGCCGGUUGAUACUGUCGGGCUAGAGUCCGGAAGAGGCGAGUGGAAUUCCCGGUGUAGCGGUGAAAUGCGCAGAGUAUCGGGAGGACACCGAUGGCGAAGGCAGGUCUCUGGACCAUAACUGACGCUGAGAAGCGAAAGCAUGGGGAGCGAACAGG
rnacentral:rRNA from 1 species